rnacentral:rRNA from 1 species
UACGAAGGGGGCUAGCGUUGCUCGGAAUCACUGGGCGUAAAGGGUGCGUAGGCGGGUCUUUUAAGUCAGGGGUGAAAUCCUGGAGCUCAACUCCAGAACUGCCUUUGAUACUGAGGAUCUUGAGUUCGGGAGAGGUGAGUGGAACUGCGAGUGUAGAGGUGAAAUUCGUAGAUAUUCGCAAGAACACCGGUGGCGAAGGCGGGUCUCUGGGCCGAAACUGACGCUGAGGAGCGAAAGCGUGGGGAGCAAACAGG